UACGAAGGGGGCUAGCGUUGCUCGGAAUCACUGGGCGUAAAGGGUGCGCAGGUGGCAUGGCAAGUUUGAUGUGAAAGCUCAGGGCUCAACCCUGAAAUGGCAUUGAAUACUGCUGUGCUGGAGGUUUGGAGGGGGGACUGGAAUUCUUGGUGUAGCAGUGAAAUGCGUAGAUAUCAAGAGGAACACCAGUGGCGAAGGCGAGUCCCUGGACAACACCUGACACUGAGGAGCGAAAGCCAGGGGAGCAAACGGG
rnacentral:rRNA from 1 species